rnacentral:lncRNA from 1 species
CUUUGCCAAAGUUCUCUGCCAAAGUUGAGCACGUGAAGCUUGCAGCUCCCACUACAUCGCUCUGACCAAGAAAGGUAAAAGAAUAGCAAAGAAACAGCACUAACAAAGUUUAGAUACAUAAAUUUUGAAGGUCUAGCUACCAUAUUAUUACCCACAAGGGUAAAGGAACAGUACCACUGCUGGAUAAUUGGAAAGUCCCUGUGUGUCAACCUCUGUGCUUC